GAGGGGAUAGCUCAGUGGUAAAGCAUAUACUUAGCAGGCACAAGGUCCUGGGUUCAAUCCCCAGUACCUCCU
rnacentral:tRNA from 1 species